UUUAUUUAUUUAUUUAUUUAUUUAUUAAUUUAUUUAUUUAUUUAUUUUGGUUGGGUGAAUCUUAAUGACUGUUUCAAUUUCCUUAGUCAUUAUGGGAAUAUUUAUAUAGUGUACAUGAUCUUUAUUUAACUUUGGUACAUGGUAUAUGUCUAGGAAAGCAUCCUCUUCAUCUAGAUUUUCUAGUUUUGUUGAGUAUAGUCUUUCAUAGUAGUGUCUGAUAAUUUUUUGAUUUUUCUGAUUAUCUGUUGUUAUGUCUCCCUUUUUAUUUUGUAAUUUUGUUAAUUUGAAUACUGUCUCUAUGACCUUUAGUUCGUUUGGCUAAGGGUUUAUCUAUCUGCUGGCCACUUGAACUAAUCUCCAACCCCCUAUAAUACCUGAUUAUGUUCCUCCUUUCUCCUCCCCUUCCCCUCUCUCACCCAAAUCCCUCCCUCCCUCUGCCUUCCAUGAUUAUUUUCUUCACCCUACUAGGUGGGAUUAAAAUGUCCUCAUUUGGCCUUUCUGCUUGUUUAUCUUUUUAAAUUUUUGGGGUUAUAUUCUAGGUAUUCUGUACUUUUUGGCUAAUGUUCUCUUAUUACUAAGAAGGCAAAUUGAUAGAACUAGAAAAUAUUAUCCUGAGUUAGGUAACCCAGACCCAAAAGCACAUACAUGGUAUGUUCUCUUCGCUUAUAAUUGGUUGAUUUCAGCUCCGAGUUUGUUUAUUUCCUGCUAUCUACUCCUCUUGGGUCUACUCCUCUUGGGUGUGUUUUAUUCUUUUUGUUGUAGAACUUUCAGAUGUGCUGUUAAGUUGCUAGUGUAGGAUCGCUCCAAUUUCUUUUUCUGCAGUUGUAAUUCUUUAUUCUUUUUUUAUUAGAUAUUUUCUUCAUUUUCAUUUCAAAUGAUAUCCUGAAAGUCCCCUAUACACUGCCCCCGCCCUGCUCCCCAACCCACUCACUCCCGCUUCCUGCCCCUGGCAUUCCCCUGUAUUGAGGCAUAUAUAAUCUUUGCAAAACCAAGGGUCUCUCCUCCCAUUGAUGGCUGACUAGGCCAUUCUCUACUACAUAUGCAACUAGAGACACAGCUUGAAGGUACUCAGUAUUAUGAUUUUUCCUAUUAGCAUUGCUUUCAUUGUAUUCCAUAAGUUUGGGUAUGCUAUGCCUUCAUUGUUGUUAAAUUCUAGAAAGUAUCAAAUUUAUUUAUUUCUUCCCUGACCAAGUUAUCAUUGAGUAGAGAGUUAUUCAUUUUCUAUAAGUAUGUGGGAUUUCUGUUGUUUUUGUUGUUAUUAAAGACCAACCUUAGUCUGCAGCCAUGUGAUAGAAUGCAUGGGAUUAUUUCAAUCUUCUUGUAUCUGUUGAGGCUUGUUUUGUGUUCUAAUAUAUGGUGAAUUUCAGAGAAGAUAUAAGGAGGUGCCAAAAAGAAGGUAUAUUCUUUUGUUUUAGGGUGAAGUGUUCUGUAUAUAUCUGUUAAAUCCAUUUGGUUCAUAACUUCUAUUAGCUUCACUGUGUCACUGGUUCGUUUAUGUGUCCCUGAUCUGUCUAUUGGUGAGAGUGGGGUGUGUUGAAAUCUCCCACUAUUAUUGUGUAAGAAUCAAUGUGUAUUUUGAGCUCAGAAAAAAAUUAGAUUAAAGAUGAGUUGGUCACCUUAAACAAAAUAAUUAAAAAUUUAUCUUACUUCUAAUAGGAAUAUUCAGUAUUUUAAAUGAAGCUUUUGAGUACUUUGCUAAAUCCACUUAUAAGUGCACUGUUCUCUUAAUCUUCUAUGUGUAUGACAUAAUAUACUAAUUUUUAGUAUGCAAUUUAAUUUACGUCUUUGUCUUGAUGAAAUGAAAAUUAAAAUUACCAAUUUAAAUUUACAUGCUGAACAUUUAAUUAUUGAUGGCACCACGAUGUUCAUAAUUGGUUCAGACUUAAGUCGUUAGUACAGUAACUGUAAUUCAACAAAUUUGUAUUUUAUUUUUACAAAUUUUUCUGACUUUCCAACUCUUCAUUUAGAUUUUUAAGCUUUUAAAUAGCAGCCACAUCACACUUCAGAUAAUUAAUACCCUAGGAAAUAAAUUGAUAUUUUGGAAUCAUGUGUUAGAAAUAAGAAAUUUGAACAUGUUAGUAUGUCAUGGAUUACUGGAUUAUUUCAUUUAAAAUCUAAAAUAUUUCUAUUAAACAUUUUAAAGUUUUGCUAACUAAAUAGGGUUACUCAGGCUGACUACUUGUUAUUAAUUUUUUAAGAUUUUUUUAAUUUCUGCACAUUUUAUGGGACUAUGUAAUAGUGUUUCAUUUCCUUCAUUUCCUUUUUCCUGAGGUAAUUUCAGGUAUUAAACUUCUAGCUAUUCAUUUAUUCAGACUAUUAUCAAACAUUUACUGAACAGAUGUUCUGAUGUUGUGAUUUACUGUAUCAGCUACUUAAACAAAGCAAUAUACUGCUUACCUGUAAGAUAUGCUGAGUCACCCAGUCUUGAAAGCCAUGAUUUCUGCCUUUGCAUUUAGCCUGGAGACUUAGUGUAAGAAGUUAGCAUUAAUUGCUCUAGCUAGAACUUCAAGUAAUAUAUUGAAGAGAGAGAGAGAGACAGAGACAGAGACAGAGACACUGAGACAGAGACAGAGACAGAGAGAGGACAGCCUUGCCUAGUUCCUGAUUUUAGUGGGAUUGCUUCAAAUUUCUCUCCAGUUAGUUUGAUGUUGGCUACUGGUUUGCUGUAUAUUGCUUUUCCUACGUUUAGGGAAGGAGCUUAAAUUCCUGAUAUUUCAAAGACUUUUAACAUGAAGGGAUGUUGAAUUUUGUCAAAUGCUUUUUCAACAUCUAAUGAAAUGAUCAUGUGGUUUUUUUCUUUGAGUUUAUUUAGUGGAUUACUUUGAUAGAUUUCCUUAUAUUGAACCAUCCCUGCAUCUCUGGGAUGAAGCCUACUUAUUCAUGGAGAAUGAUCAUUUUGAUGUAUUCUUGAAUUCAGCUUGCAAUAAUUUUAUUGAGUAUUUUUGCAUUGAUGUUCAUAAGGGAAAUUGGUCUGAAGUUCUCUUUCUGUGUUGGGUCUUUGUGUGGUUUAGGCAUAAACAUAAUUGUGGCUUCAUAGAACGAAUUGGGUAUUGUUCCUUCUGUUUCCAUUUUGUAGAAUACUUUGAAAAGUAUUGGUAUUAGGUAUUCUUUCAAAGUCAGAUAAAAUUCUGCACUAAACCCAUCUGGUCCUGGGCUUUCUUUCAUUGGGAAAAUUUUAAUGACUGCUUCUAUUUCUCUAGGGGUUAUGUGACUCUUUAGAUGGUUUAUCUGAUCCUAAUUUAACUAUGGUACCUGGUAUCUGUCUAGGAAAUUGUCCAUUUCAUCCAUAUUUUCCAGUUUUGUUGAGUAUAGGCUUUUGAAGUAGGAUCUGAUGAUUUUUUAAAAAUUUCCUUGGUUUCCAUUGUUAUUUCUCCCUAGCAAUUAAACAAGAACAGGAGGUCAAAGGGAUACAAAUU
rnacentral:lncRNA from 1 species